ensembl:misc_RNA Metazoa_SRP Metazoan signal recognition particle RNA
GCCAGGCAUGGUGGCUCAUGCCUGUAAUCCCAGCACUUUGGGAGGCUGAGGUGGGCGGAUCACCUGAGGUCAGGAGUUCAAGACCAGCCUGACCAACAUGGAGAAACCCCGUCUCUA